rnacentral:rRNA from 1 species
UUUAAACUUGAGAGUUUGAUCAUGGCUCAGAACGUACGCUGGCGGCACGCCUAACACAUGCAAGUCGAACGAAGUAGCAAUACUUAGUGGCAGACGGGUGAGUAACAUGUAGGUAUCUGCCCUUUGGCCUGGAAUAACACGAGGAAACUUGUGCUAAUACUGGAUAAGUCUUUACGGAGAAAGCUUUAUGCACCAUUGGAUGAGCCUGCACUUGAUUAGUUUGUUGGUGGGGUAAUGGCCUACCAAGACUUUGAUCAAUAGCUGAUUUGAGAGGAUGAUCAGCCACAUUGGGACUGAGACACGGCCCAAACUCCUACGGGAGGCAGCAGUGGGGAAUCUUGCACAAUGGAGGAAACUCUGAUGCAGCGAUGCCGCGUGAGUGAAGAAGGCCUUUGGGUUGUAAAGCUCUUUCGUCGGGGAAGAAAAUGACUGUACCCGAAUAAGAAGGUCCGGCUAACUUCGUGCCAGCAGCCGCGGUAAUACGAAGGGACCUAGCGUAGUUCGGAAUUACUGGGCUUAAAGAGUUCGUAGGUGGUUGAAAAAGUUGGUGGUGAAAUCCCAGAGCUUAACUCUGGAACUGCCAUCAAAACUUUUCAGCUAGAGUUUGAUAGAGGAAAGCAGAAUUUCUAGUGUAGAGGUGAAAUUCGUAGAUAUUAGAAAGAAUACCAAUUGCGAAGGCAGCUUUCUGGAUCAUUACUGACACUGAGGAACGAAAGCAUGGGUAGCGAAGAGGAUUAGAUACCCUCGUAGUCCAUGCCGUAAACGAUGUGUGUUAGACGUUGGAAAUUUAUUUUCAGUGUCGCAGCGAAAGCGAUAAACACACCGCCUGGGGAGUACGACCGCAAGGUUAAAACUCAAAUGAAUUGACGGGGACCCGCACAAGUAGUGGAGCAUGUGGUUUAAUUCGAAGAUACGCGCAGAACCUUACCAACACUUGACAUGUUCGUCGCGACUUUAAGAGAUUAAAGUUUUCGGUUCGGCCGGACGAAACACAGGUGCUGCAUGGCUGUCGUCAGCUCGUGUCGUGAGAUGUUGGGUUAAGUCCCGCAACGAGCGCAACCCUCACUUUUAGUUGCCAUCAUUUAGUUGGGCACUCUGAAAGAACUGCCAGUGAUAAGCUGGAGGAAGGUGGGGAUGACGUCAAGUCCUCAUGGCCCUUACGUGUUGGGCUACACACGUGCUACAAUGGUAUCUACAACAGGAAGCAAGACGGCGACGUCAAGCAAAUCCUUAAAAGAUACCUCAGUUCGGAUUGCACUCUGCAACUCGAGUGCAUGAAGCUGGAAUUACUAGUAAUCGUGGAUCAGCGUGCCACGGUGAAUGCGUUCCCGGGUCUUGUACACACCGCCCGUCACACCAUGGGAGUUGGUUCUACCUUAAGGCAAGGUUUAAAACCCUUGACCACGGUAUAGUCAGCGACUGGGGUGAAGUCGUAACAAGGUAGCCGUAGGGGAACCUGCGGCUGGAUUACCUCCUUUCUAA